rnacentral:rRNA from 1 species
CAGCCGUAAACUAAUGCUCGCUAGGUGUCAGGCAUGGCGCGACCGUGUCUGGUGCCGCAGGGAAGCCGUGAAGCGAGCCACCUGGGAAGUACGGCCGCAAGGCUGAAACUUAAAGGAAUUGGCGGGGGAGCACAACAACGGGUGGAGCCUGCGGUUUAAUUGGAUUCAACGCCGGACAUCUCACCGGAUAAGACAGCUGAAUGAUUGUCAAUCUGAAGGUUUUACAUGACUAGCUGAGAGGAGGUGCAUGGCGUCAGUG